CACAGCUAGAGACAAGAAGUCCUGGGUUCAAAUGUGAUCUCAGAUACUUCCUAGCUGUGUGACCCUAGGAUGCCACAGUGAAGUCCCCAGAAUUCAUUGGACAAAGCAAUCAGCCCUCUCUGCUCUCAAGGUAGUAUUUAGCCAAAUGCAGAGAAUGACUCAACUUCCACUGUAGCUACAUGCUUAGCAGAGUGGGACAAGCAUAGUAUCAUCUGAGUGCUGAAAACCCAUGUUUAAAAUGCUAACUUGGAAAUGGUAGAUACAC
rnacentral:lncRNA from 1 species